CCUACGGGUGGCAGCAGUGGGGAAUAUUGGACAAUGGGCGAAAGCCUGAUCCAGCCAUGCCGCGUGUGUGAAGAAGGCCUUCGGGUUGUAAAGCACUUUCAGUGGGGAAGAAAGCCUUGGGGCUAAUACCCUCGAGGAAGGACAUCACCCACAGAAGAAGCACCGGCUAACUCCGUGCCAGCAGCCGCGGUAAUACGGAGGGUGCGAGCGUUAAUCGGAAUUACUGGGCGUAAAGCGCGCGUAGGCGGUCUGAUAAGCCGGUUGUGAAAGCCCCGGGCUCAACCUGGGAACGGCAUCCGGAACUGUCAGGCUAGAGUGCAGGAGAGGAAGGUAGAAUUCCCGGGGUAGCGGUGAAAUGCGUAGAGAUCGGGAGGAAUACCAGUGGCGAAGGCGGUCUUCUGGACUGACACUGACGCUGAGGUGCGAAAGCGUGGGUAGCAAACAGGAUUAGAUACCCUGGUAGUC
rnacentral:rRNA from 1 species